rnacentral:rRNA from 1 species
GACGAACGCUGGCGGCGUGCUUAACACAUGCAAGUCGAACGGAAAGGCCCUGCUUUUGUGGGGUGCUCGAGUGGCGAACGGGUGAGUAACACGUGAGUAACCUGCCCUUGACUUUGGGAUAACUUCAGGAAACUGGGGCUAAUACCGGAUAGGAGCUCCUGCUGCAUGGUGGGGGUUGGAAAGUUUCGGCGGUUGGGGAUGGACUCGCGGCUUAUCAGCUUGUUGGUGGGGUAGUGGCUUACCAAGGCUUUGACGGGUAGCCGGCCUGAGAGGGUGACCGGCCACAUUGGGACUGAGAUACGGCCCAGACUCCUACGGGAGGCAGCAGUGGGGAAUAUUGCACAAUGGGCGGAAGCCUGAUGCAGCAACGCCGCGUGCGGGAUGACGGCCUUCGGGUUGUAAACCGCUUUCGCCUGUGAUGAAGCGUGAGUGACGGUAAUGGGUAAAGAAGCACCGGCUAACUACGUGCCAGCAGCCGCGGUGAUACGUAGGGUGCGAGCGUUGUCCGGAUUUAUUGGGCGUAAAGGGCUCGUAGGUGGUUGAUCGCGUCGGAAGUGUAAUCUUGGGGCUUAACCCUGAGCGUGCUUUCGAUACGGGUUGACUUGAGGAAGGUAGGGGAGAAUGGAAUUCCUGGUGGAGCGGUGGAAUGCGCAGAUAUCAGGAGGAACACCAGUGGCGAAGGCGGUUCUCUGGGCCUUUCCUGACGCUGAGGAGCGAAAGCGUGGGGAGCGAACAGGCUUAGAUACCCUGGUAGUCCACGCUGUAAACGGUGGGUACUAGGUGUGGGGUCCAUUCCACGGGUUCCGUGCCGUAGCUAACGCUUUAAGUACCCCGCCUGGGGAGUACGGCCGCAAGGCUAAAACUCAAAGGAAUUGACGGGGCCCCGCACAAGCGGCGGAGCAUGCGGAUUAAUUCGAUGCAACGCGUAGAACCUUACCUGGGUUUGACAUGGAUCGGGAGCGCUCAGAGAUGGGUGUGCCUCUUUUGGGGUCGGUUCACAGGUGGUGCAUGGCUGUCGUCAGCUCGUGUCGUGAGAUGUUGGGUUAAGUCCCGCAACGAGCGCAACCCUUGUUCACUGUUGCCAGCACGUUAUGGUGGGGACUCAGUGGAGACCGCCGGAGUCAACUCGGAGGAAGGUGGGGAUGACGUCAAGUCAUCAUGCCCCUUAUGUCCAGGGCUUCACGCAUGCUACAAUGGCUGGUACAGAGAGUGGCGAGCCUGUGAGGGUGAGCGAAUCUCGGAAAGCCGGUCUCAGUUCGGAUUGGGGUCUGCAACUCGACCUCAUGAAGUCGGAGUCGCUAGUAAUCGCAGAUCAGCAACGCUGCGGUGAAUACGUUCCCGGG